rnacentral:rRNA from 1 species
AGUGAACGCUGGCGGUAGGCCUAACACAUGCAAGUCGAACGGCAGCACAGUAAGAGCUUGCUCUUACGGGUGGCGAGUGGCGGACGGGUGAGGAAUACAUCGGCAUCUACUUUUUCGUGGGGGAUAACGUAGGGAAACUUACGCUAAUACCGCAUACGACCUACGGGUGAAAGCAGGGGAUGUUCGGACCUUGCGCGAUUGAAUGAGCCGAUGUCGGAUUAGCUAGUUGGCGGGGUAAAGGCCCACCAAGGCGACGAUCCGUAGCUGGUCUGAGAGGAUGGUCAGCCACACUGGAACUGAGACACGGUCCAGACUCCUACGGGAGGCAGCAGUGGGGAAUAUUGGACAAUGGGCGCAAGCCUGAUCCAGCCAUACCGCGUGGGUGAAGAAGGCCUUCGGGUUGUAAAGCCCUUUUGUUGGGAAAGAAAAGCAGCAGGUUAAUACCCCGCUGUUCUGACGGUACCCAAAGAAUAAGCACCGGCUAACUUCGCG